rnacentral:tmRNA from 1 species
GGGCGCGUACAUGGUUUCGACGGGGAUCGUGGAGGCCGGAUAAGCGAGCCGAAGACCCGUGCUUCGAUAAAAACGGGAAAGUAUAAUAACUGGCAAAACUAACGUUUUACCCGUCGCUGCAUAAGCAGUGACCGUCCGCCCGCCGCUUCCCACGGCUGCGGAUACGGGCGUCAUCAAUGUGGGGAACCAACUUGCCGAAGCUUUGAGGUAAGCGGGAUAUAUGAAGCUACCAAAACGAUGACCCUGCCGGAGGGGGCUUCGCAGAGGGAAUGACAAAACACCGGAUACGCUCGUAGAAAGUCCUGUUGACAGGUUUUCGGACAGGGGUUCGACUCCCCUCGCGUCCACCA